rnacentral:rRNA from 1 species
GACGAACGCUGGCGGCGUGCUUAACACAUGCAAGUCGAACGGAAAGGCCCUGCUUUUGUGGGGUGCUCGAGUGGCGAACGGGUGAGUAACACGUGAGUAACCUGCCCUUGACUUUGGGAUAACUUCAGGAAACUGGGGCUAAUACCGGAUAGGAGCUCCUGCUGCAUGGUGGGGGUUGGAAAGUUUCGGCGGUUAGGGAUGGACUCGCGGCUUAUCAGCUUGUUGGUGGGGUAGUGGCUUACCAAGGCUUUGACGGGUAGCCGGCCUGAGAGGGUGACCGGCCACAUUGGGACUGAGAUACGGCCCAGACUCCUACGGGAGGCAGCAGUGGGGAAUAUUGCACAAUGGGCGGAAGCCUGAUGCAGCAACGCCGCGUGCGGGACGACGGCCUUCGGGUUGUAAACCGCUUUCGCCUGUGACGAAGCGUGAGUGACGGUAAUGGGUAAAGAAGCACCGGCUAACUACGUG